ACUGCCAUAUAGGGAAUGGAAUGCGGGGGCGGGGCCCGCCGCCGCGGCGUGAACCCGGUCACCUCUGCCGGGAAAGCCGGAAGGGUGGGGGGAGCCGCGCCUUGCGGACGGGAAAUACGGUAACGGCUGGGGCGGAGCGAGGACGGAAAAGACCUGGCUCCUGCCUCAGGGGCGGGACGGACGAAGCCCCUUCUGUGGCAGGAGCCCCGGCGCGUGCCUAUAACAAGUCCUUGACGUUCCUCAGUGAGGCGAACUCCAAGGGAUUAAGAGGAGCUGAGAGACAUGCCUCUGCUACACUUCGACACUUGGAAUAAUAAUGGCAGAAUCUACUCCUAUAUUUCCCGAAACUCAGUGCUCUGAGCCUCUUCCAGGAAAUCCUGUAUACAGGAAGUUGUGGUUUGACAGAAUGAAGGUUGAUUGACUUAUAGCUUGCUUCUUCAUGUCUCUCCAUGGGUCAUUUCUUUCUGAAAGAAGCAGAGUCAACGUAACUACACCUUUCUCAUUGAGUCAUGCCAGCUGUUGCAAGUAAUGCUGAAUAAAAAUAAUUCUCUGGUUACUCUGCCUGCACUUUUGUCUGUGGUUAACUUCACUGUUUUUAUUUUAGUCGGUCUCUUUUGUGUGCAUCUGUCACCUGUCAGGAAAGAAAUGUUUAUGUAAAUAAGUUUCACAAGUCAUUUAGGAGAUGUGUAGGAAAAUGUAGAACUGCUUUUAACUAACUUGUGAAAAUUGGCUAGAUUUUAAGCUGACUCUGCCCUCUCAACAGAUACUCAGAACAGUCACUGCUCUUUAUUGCUACAACACACCAUCUUGGAAUAACACAUUAGCCAGUCUGAUGGAAUAUUUUAUGUAGGGUUUCUACUUAAUGUAAGUCAGUGCUGUAAAUGGCAGUUACAUCUGCAAAGAACACUGCAUCAUUCAUGUCCCUCACUACUCUCAUGGGUAAAUGUGGUACAUUUAGGAAGGGUUAUGUUAGUCCUCAGAAUCAUAUGGAUCUAUAGAAAUGGUGGAAAUGUUGCUAGUAAAACACAAAAGACUGAAUAAUUAACUAUUUUUUUCUCUCAUGAAUUGGUUGAGGCUGGAAGGGAUGU